UACGUAGGUGGCAAGCGUUGUCCGGAAUUAUUGGGCGUAAAGCGCGCGCAGGCGGUCCUUUAAGUCUGAUGUGAAAGCCCACGGCUCAACCGUGGAGGGUCAUUGGAAACUGGGGGACUUGAGUGCAGAAGAGGAAAGCGGAAUUCCACGUGUAGCGGUGAAAUGCGUAGAGAUGUGGAGGAACACCAGCGGCGAAGGCGGCACUCUGGGCCGGAACUGACGCUGAGGAGCGAAAGCGUGGGUAGCAAACAGG
rnacentral:rRNA from 1 species